CCUACGGGUGGCAGCAGUGGGGAAUAUUGGGCAAUGGGCGCAAGCCUGACCCAGCAACGCCGCGUGAAGGAAGAAGGCUUUCGGGUUGUAAGCUUCUUUUGUCAGGGAAGAGUAGAAGACGGUACCUGACGAAUAAGCCACGGCUAACUACGUGCCAGCAGCCGCGGUAAUACGUAGGUGGUAAGCGUUGUCCGGAUUUACUGGGUGUAAAGGGCGUGUAGCCGGGUUGACAAGUCAGAUGUGAAAUCCUGCGGCUUAACCGCAGAACUGCAUUUGAAAUUGUUGAUCUUGAGUACUGGAGAGGCAGACGGAAUUCCUAGUGUAGCGGUGAAAUGCGUAGAUAUUAGGAGGAACACCAGUGGCGAAGGCGGUCUGCUGGACAGCAACUGACGGGGAGGCGCGAAAGCGUGGGGAGCAAACAGGAUUAGAGACCCGUGUAGUC
rnacentral:rRNA from 1 species